GCCGCGGUCGCCUAAUCAGGUAUGGCGGAUGGCCGAAACCCAUCUGGCCGAAAGGCCUUCUGGGCUCAAAUCCCAGCCGCGGCG
rnacentral:tRNA from 1 species